AGUGAACGCUGGCGGUAGGCCUAACACAUGCAAGUCGAACGGCAGCACAGUAAGAGCUUGCUCUUACGGGUGGCGAGUGGCGGACGGGUGAGGAAUACAUCGGAAUCUACUUUUUCGUGGGGGAUAACGUAGGGAAACUUACGCUAAUACCGCAUACGACCUACGGGUGAAAGCAGGGGAUCUUCGGACCUUGCGCGAUUGAAUGAGCCGAUGUCGGAUUAGCUAGUUGGCGGGGUAAAGGCCCACCAAGGCGACGAUCCGCAGCUGGUCUGAGAGGAUGAUCAGCCACACUGGAACUGAGACACGGUCCAGACUCCUACGGGAGGCAGCAGUGGGGAAUAUUGGACAAUGGGCGCAAGCCUGAUCCAGCCAUACCGCGUGGGUGAAGAAGGCCUUCGGGUUGUAAAGCCCUUUUGUUGGGAAAGAAAAGCAGCAGGUUAAUACCCCGCUGUUCCGACGGUACCCAAAGAAUAAGCACCGGCUAACUUCGUG
rnacentral:rRNA from 1 species